AAGAUACUAGUAAAAUGAUAUUACAUUGCCUUGUCGAGGCAGAAUCGGAGGUUUAAACCCUCCGUAUCUUA
rnacentral:tRNA from 2 species